AAAAUACAAUCCAUCUCAUCUCCUCCCAACCAUCUUCUCCGAUGACAACCUCUGUUGCCAUUGGUUCUCCCAUUCGCACAUCCGCCUCCCACUCCUUCAGUUACUAUGUCACACCCCAAACCUGUCACCUAAAUCAAACAUGUGACACGAUCAAAUAAUCCUUAAAGUGAAGCCCUAGAGGUUAUGUAAGGCCUAAGAUGAAUAAUAUCCACACAAAACCAAUAAUAAUCAAAUUAAUCCAAUAAAACAACUAAUAUUAAAUAAUCAACUAGUUCAAUUAAAAAAGUUUCAAA
rnacentral:lncRNA from 1 species